CCCUGCAUUGGCAAGCGGAUUCUUAACCACUGCACCACCAGGGAAGUCCCAUGCUUAGUGCUUUUGAUGAAAUAUGUGGUUAAAAUGUUUUAACCCCUCAUCCCACCCUCUCACCUGGCCCAGCAGGCACACAAAAGAAUGUAAACAUGUAUGCACACAUACACACAGCAUCUAAUCAAGUCUUUUGUUAAGACCAUUUUUAGGAUUGGACACCAUCACAUGGUUUGGAUGAUUCACCAAGAGAAUUGACAACUCAUUCGUGAUAAUGACUGUGAAAGUUGUGUCCCAGGAGUGCCAACCCAAGAAAUUAAGAGACUGGAAGUCUCCCACACUCUCACCCCCAAAACUAUCCUCUUGGGCUGUGAUUUCCACAGCCAUCCACCUACUUGGUUUCAGCUAAAGACAUUGGGGAUAUAGCAAUUUCUCUGUCCCAGUAGGAGUUAAGAUGCAACAAAACAUUUACAGAACUAAUCCUGAUAAUCUGGUUCCCUGGGGAAGAAAGGAGAGAUAGGAUAUCCUCACUUUCAUUCCCCUCCCACGGCUUUGGGCUGCUGAGCCUCUCUGGGAAUCCAAAAUAGUGUUGCUUCUAGACCAGCUACAUUCUCCAAACCCAGGGUGUCAGGCAGGGGGAUGUGGGGUGGAGUGAUGAUUCAUUCCAAAGGAAAGGAAGAUGCCUGCAUUUUUUAAACCGUUGCCCUGUUUUUCCUCUGAAGUUCCUUCUCUGUUCAGUUGCUUGAAAGAAUGGGCUUCCUUGUUCAGGCACUGCCAUGUGGAUAAAGAUGUACCCUCUGGUUCCAAAAAACUCCCUCCUUGCCCCACAAGUUUGCCAGCCUUCAGCAGGAGUUCCCAAAUUUGCAUAUGAUCCAGAGUCACUUAUAGACCAAGACCAAAGACCCUGAAUUCGGGAAUGGAAGAAACAAACUCCAAGAAGCACAGAUGUUUUUAACGAAGUGGCCUUCACCUCAGGCUGAUAUGCCCACAACCCCGUACCUGAGCUGGUCGGGUGACCAGUUCAGGGAGGAACUGGAAAGCUGGUGGUGGAAGGGAGGUCCCAAGUGCCACCAGAUUACUGUUGUCACUUGCUAGCUGUUCUGGCUUCAGUCAUUCUACCUUCCUUCAUGUUCCCAGCUUCCCCCAGAGUGAUGUUUCUAAAGCACAAGUGUGCUCCCAUCACUCCCGAGUCACACACUGUUCUGUGGCUCCCUGUUGCUUACAGCUUUGUUUCUGAGAUGUUGUUCUGCUUCUCGCCUUCUCCUGCACCACUCACCCCCAGAACACCUGACAUGACGCUCCAUGAUGUUAAGGUUCAGGGUCUAAAGAGGGCGCCAACGCUUUAUUUGAGAACCACUGAAUUUUUAUGGUGCCGACUCCUUUGUGUGGCAUUCAAGGCCCACGUCAAUCCAGCCCACAUGGCCAGUCCCAUCUCCACACACUUCCUGCAUCGCAUCCUCUGCAAUAACUACAUCAGCAUCCAUAUCGUGCUGAUAUGCAAACUCAUAUGCCUGUAGGAACCCAGGCGUGACUUAAAAAGGAAAGGGGUCAAGUGUAAGAAAAAUGGGAAAUGGGGGAACUCUGGCAACCUGAAGAGCUCAUGUUCCAGCUUCAUCCUCUUCAUCCAAUUGCUGGGCAUCAGGUCUUAGAAGUUUUGUUUUUUUUCAGUACAAUUCUUUUUUUUUUUUACUACGGUAUAAUUGACACUAACAUUGUAUUAGUUUCAGGUGCACAACAUAAUGAUUUGACAUUUGCAUAGGUCUUAGAGUUUUGAAAAUCUUUUCAUUCAUCUGCUCAUCAAACUUGCUCCACACCUGUUUCAAAAUAUUUGCACUUCUCUCAUGGCACUUGUUCCCAUCUCGUACUUUGAAUUGCAGUUAUUUGUGUACAUUUCUUACCUAUUUUCUAGAUUGUGCAUCUGAAAGGGACUAUGACCAGAAGGUCACUUCCUUCUUUUCAGAAGCUCUGAAAGCAUCCCCUCUUCUUUUUCCUCCUUUUUUCUCUUUCACUUUUUGGCAGGCCUGACUAGCGAAGCCAUUCCCGGGGCACGGACGUCUCUUGUCCUCAUUGCCCUUUUCGGAAGAGACAUACACAUUCUUCCACUUCUUCUUUUUCAGCCUUUUUAAGUCCCCAAAACUCAGCCUACUUGUGAUUAUAAUGAGCCUCAGCUGUGGAAAGGGGAACCGGGCUGGCAGGUGGCGGUGGUGAGUGCGGGCGAGAUUCUGCAGACCCAGAAUUUAGUUCGCUCUGCACUGAAUUUUUUCAAAGUCUACUUUUCUACUGUCCUCUGCUCUGGAGUUUCUUCUCUUCCUGGUAGGGUGAUCAGGAACAUAGAGAUCUGCUGUCAGAACCAGCUUGAAAAUAAAGAUCAAAAAAAAAAAAAAAAAGAAAAGAAAGAUCAAUUAAUUCCUCACUGCCACUGUGAUGUGUGUAAAAGGAACAGUUGAAAGAGACAUGACCUCAGCUCAUUACUUCUGCCCCACAGGCGGCAAACAGCCGCAAGCGUGAGUAACAAGCCAGGUGAACAAGGGAGAAAAGUCUGUAGUGAGCUCAUCUCCCAACAGCUACUCAUUAUUCUAAUUAUUCCGAGGACUGCAGCCACUUCUCAACGUGAGACCACAGGUCCUCCUGCUUCAGAACUUCCUGGGGUGAUUGUUCACACUUUGCCUCCUGAACCUCUCCAGCCUAAGGACCAGGAUUUCUGGAGGAGGCGCUAUGAAUCUGCAGCUUUAACAGGCUCCCCAGGUGAUGCUCAUGCUGUCCUGGUCCGAGACCCGCUGAAUUACACACCCCUGCCCUCGAGGUGUCUCAGUACGUCUUCCACACUCCACCUCCAGCAGAGCACAAGGACCAAGAACAUGGCUUGAGGUCAGACCCUGGCUUGGCCACAUACUGGCCCUAAGCGGGGCGCUGGAUAACAACACACAGGACAGGUGAGGCUGAGAACUGAGCCCCCUGAGAAGCUAAGCUGCAGGACUGAUUCUGUUCAGCUGGGACUCCUGGUAAUGCUGCAGACAGGCCUCUACCUGUGUAGGGACAGCUGAGGGCAGGUUCUAACCACCCCCUCACAAGCUCGACUUCAGGCAAUAUCACUGGUUUGCAAAAAUACAGGGAAGCCUAACCAACAGAUUGUUCUCCCAAAUUAUUGCUAUGACAAGCAAAGAGAAGAGAUAAAUCUCAAGGGACUCGAUCUUCAUAUCUUACGGCAAUCCAGCUUAGAGAGAGGUUUCCUCUCAAGUACUAUGCAUAUGCCCUGCUACCUGAGACUCUAUACUGUACCCUCUUCUACCAAGCUACUCCCAUCUAAGAAGAGCUUAACUCCAUAACCUUGGGAGCCACCACAGUCAAGAUAAUGAACACAUCCAUCACUCCCCAAAACUUCCCCGUGCCCCUUUAUAAUCCUUCCUUUAACCCCUCUUGCCUCCACCAUGUAACCCCUAAUCUGCUUUCUGUUGCUGUAGAUUAGUUUGCAUUUUCUGGAAAGUUAUGUAAAUGGAAUCUUACAAACAUGUACUCUUUUUG